GAACACCAGAGGACGGUGGAGGAGUGCAGGAGGUCUCCACGCCGCCUGUGUACUCAUGUGCUGUCUCUGUGGAGGAUCGAUUGGCUUAGAGGUCCAUGGGCACUGGCCCAGUUAGCCAGGAUCAACAUGAGUGCUCGGGAAUAUGAGCUAGACAGAGAUGCCUCUGCAGCCAUGAGAGAAAGGAUUUCCACCUGUGUCAGUGUCAUCAUGGAAAGGAACAAAACAGGG